rnacentral:RNase_P_RNA from 1 species
AGACAGGUAGAAUGUGGUCGCCCUUACUACUUUGCGCAGCAAAGCAGUAAGGGAGGAAAGUCCGGGCUCCGGAGGAUAGCGCAGUAGGUUAAUACCUACCCAUUGAGGCUUAACCCUUGAUGAGGAUUGCCCCUAGCGGGGCCAUUACCGAACAUAAUUGCGGGUAAUGAGAGCCACAGAGACGAGACCUUGGGUUUUAAAAACUCAAGGGAGUGAAACGCGGCAAUCUCUGCGCGGAGCAAGGCGAAUAGGAGAUGAAUCCUUAUAUUUAGAAUUUGAGGAUACAUGCUUAUCCGGCGUGUUAUUAAUCUCGGGUAAUAAGCUGCUUGAGUAAUAGCAGUAACGCUAUUAUCGAGAGGAAUGAUCACUAAUCGAUAGCGAAAAAUCGCAUCAAGACAGAACCCGGCUUAUUCUACCUGUCUUUUU